rnacentral:guide_RNA from 1 species
UAAAUCAACAAAACUAGUGCCUUCUAUAGUAGAUGAUGAUAUAU